rnacentral:rRNA from 1 species
AGAGUUUGAUCCUGGCUCAGGACGAACGCUGGCGGCGUGCUUAACACAUGCAAGUCGAGCGGUAAGGCUCCUUCGGGAGUACACGAGCGGCGAACGGGUGAGUAACACGUGAGUAAUCUGCCCUCCACUUCGGGAUAAGCGCCGGAAACGGCGUCUAAUACCGAAUACGACGCGCUUUCGCAUGAGAUGCGCGUGGAAAGUUUUAUCGGUGGAGGAUGUGCUCACGGCCUAUCAGCUUGUUGGUGAGGUAACGGCUCACCAAGGCUUCGACGGGUAGCCGGCCUGAGAAGGUGACCGGCCACACUGGGACUGAGACACGGCCCAGACUCCUACGGGAGGCAGCAGUGGGGAAUAUUGGACAAUGGGCGAAAGCCUGAUCCAGCAACGCCGCGUGAGGGAUGACGGCCUUCGGGUUGUAAACCUCUUUCAGUACCGACGAAGCGCCAAUAACGGUGGUGACGGUAGGUACAGAAGAAGAACCGGCCAACUACGUGCCAGCAGCCGCGGUAAU